CGCUUGAGUCAAACUCUACUACAAAUCCGCAUGCCCGGUAUCGUAUGGUCGUACGCCAUCGUGUGAUACAUAUUUGAUCAGUGUGAGUCGUGCGAGUAGUGAGCUAGGGUCGUUUCAGUGACUCGGAAAAGCGGUUUUUCUGAAGAUAAUUAUUUUGUUCACUGGCGUGAAAAGGACGCUCUGUCAAUUUUGCACCAGGGCGCAAAAAGCGCACGGACAGGCUCUCUAUAGCGCGAUAUUCAUUACUUUUACCUCUCGUUUGCUAAUCUACGCCAAAGUUGGAAUCUGUUCCGGAAAUAUCCGCUCUAUGUGCAAGAGCCAGAAUUUCCAGAGCCGCCGGAAAUCACCACCUUCACAGUCAUUCCGAAGUGCACAUUCCAGCGCAGACACGUGAAAAUUGAUACGGAUGCAUUGUACAAUAUUUUAUGUGGCGUCAAGGCAAUGAAGCGAGAAGAUGGUCUUCGAGUCAACAAGAAAGGCGAAGUCCUCCAGCGCUACAUCAGACUGGAUGAAUUUAAAAGAAUAGGAAGCUGGCGUUUGUUUUUCAACAUGGACGAAAUCACCAAGUUGGUCAAGAAUAAGAAUGAAUUCGGCAAUUCGAUAAUAUCAGAUGGUGUGUCAGCGUCUUUUGCUGAUGAAGAAGAGGCCGAAACCAAACGCAAAUAUUUGGCAAAAGAUUUCGUGUAUGCGUUGGGAAUUGAUCCAGGCAUGUGAACCUUUAUUGCGUCGGUCCGCCUCGAUCUAAAGAGCGGCGAAGAGACCAACGAGAAGAUUUCGUUCAAACAAUACCAUCAGAAAUCGAAGCAACAUGCGCGCAACAUUAAAGCCAAACGAAUACCACGAGUUUUUACGCAUGACGAGCAAGAGGACCCCGAGCGUAUCGCCGCAGAGAUUGGCCAAACACCGUCGCCACGGACUAUCUCUUGGCGCCAUUACAUCGAACAUCGCCUGCGAAUGUCCCAAGAUGAUCGCGGCAUAUAGAGGUGUCAACGGACAAAAUUUUGUUCAUCCGUCCGUUCGAACAUUUUUUGAAAAAAUUUGGACGUCCGAUCCCAAUGUCCGGGAACCGAAAAUAAUUUUCGGACGUCCGGUCCGAAUGUCCGAAUUUUUUUUUCGGACGGACGGACGGACAAUGUGUUUUGUCCGAACUUUUUGAAAUUUCUUGGACGUCCGGACCGAAAUUCAGACGUUUGGUAUCAAAGAAGCAACACUUCUUCAAAACCUGCCAACCAAAUGCUGCUGAAAACGCUGGAACAGAAGACGCUGUACAAUCACGCAAGUUGCUCAAAUCACUUUGGCAUCGGGACAUAUCAGCAGCCAAACUGCUCAUGUACAAAGGUCUUUGCACGCUGUUUGGUGAACCGAUACAUCCAGCAUUACUGCGACGACCAGAUGACGAAGGAGUUCCAAUCAAUCCAUAAUUCAAAAUGCAGCAUUUAUCAUCAAAGCUUUUUUUAACAAAUAUUUUCUAAUAGUUUAUUAGAGUUCUCAAGCCUUGCACUUAGUGGGCUAUUUUAGGUGCAUAAGGUGUAGCAACUUUAUGUGCCACAGUACAUGAGUGGUUUUAUAGACGUUAUUUGAUGAUCAGAAUGGGUCAUGUUCAUUUUCCGGUUUGACAAUGUCAAAUUGACAUCACGCCACCGCAUUCUUUGGAUAUGACUUGUUCAAUGCAUCAUAUCACGGUAAGUAUUCUCACAAUUCGGAGUAGGCAAACCGUCAGAAGUAGUACGGAAAAAUGACAAAUUGCCGAAGUAAUUUUUUCAUUGGAGGUAAAUUGUUGAAUUACCACCAAUAUUUUUAUUCGAUAGGUAAAUUUGAAUUCAGUGGGAAAAAGCCGCUAACAGGGCAUUUGAAGAGUGAUAAAACACACCAAACACGUAUAAUUAGUGAGAAAUAAAUCUUUUUGAUUGUUUUUUCAAAUUUUCAUCAAGUGUGUUGCAGCAGUGAACAGCGAAUUGAAUCUAAAUUCCAAAUGGCACAAAACAUUGAAUUUUUAACAACAAUCAUCUCGAAUCAUCUUUGCAACACGAAAAAAGGCUAAUUGAAUUUGUUGUUUAGCCUUCUUCGGCUAUUACACGAUACGAUUUGCAACGAUUUCUGAUGUUGUUUUCAUUUUUUGACAAUCGGUUGUCGUCACACUGAAUGUUUCAUGCACAAUCGUGUUUCCGCACACCAACGUGAUCACACAUAAUGAACGCAACGAAGUGUGUGCAAGGAAUUGCCACAUUCAAAGGGCACAACAUUCGAUGGCGAGAAUGAACACAUUAAGAAUAAAAAAAAUAUUUCCAUCAUGGAAUUCGAUAGGGGCUACUCCACUUUCAUAAAUGGCAACUUAUAACCAAUAAAUAUGAUUUCAUACAAAUAUCGCACCAAAAUUGUCUAAACACUCAAAUGUCUACGAUUUUAAACACUCUUUCACCACUUUUGACCAUUUUGUCAUGCAUGUUUUUUUCUUCAAAAAUUCUGGAAGCGAAUUCUGGUGGAUCGUCAGGAUCGUCCAGAACUACUCCCGGUUCUGGAAGUGUGUUUUGGUGGAUCUUCAGGAUGUAUCAGAUCGGUUUUGAAAAUGCCCUGGUCAAUCCUGAGGAUCCAUUUCCAGAACCGGGAGCAGUGAUCAACGCUGAACGGACGGACAAGACAAUUUCAAGAGCCCUGGACGGACGGACGGACGGGCCAAAAAGACGGACAGUCCAUCCGUUUGACACCUUUAAUGCAAGUUUCUAAAUUUGGGACAAAGUGAUUUUCUUAGUACAAAACCAUAAAUUCAAUCAACUAAAGUCAACUGAAGAACAGUCAGUCAGUCAUUUUUUUCACGAAUUUCAUGUGUUUGAAUUCAAUCGAAAUUAUCACAAUAUUAAAAAUCUAAAACUUGUGAUAUCGAGAAAAAAUUCAGGGCCCUGGAACAAUUUUGCCUCGGGGCCCCCGAAAAUGCUUAGACGGCACUGGUGUGAACACCAUUAAUUGAUACAGAAUUUUUUCCUCUUUAAUUUAAAAUCUACCAUUUCUUUUUUUCAGGUUAUGAAAAACACCCUAUUGUUACAUACCGAAUUAAAUCUCAUGACUGUAACAAUGGACUGGUUUUUGAAACGAUUAUCUCCGCACUGUAGGAAUUGUCGAUCCAUUAUAUGUUUUGUUUUAGAAAUGUUCAUAAUCCAUUUAAAAUUUUUAGAACAAUCAUAUGGGUUUUCUGAAAAUUGUACAUUUUAUGAGACUUCGAUAUAAUACUUUCACGCUUUCAUGUAUAUUUUAUUUCGACAUUUUACCGCUUAAAUAUAACUCUUGAAGUUUUGAUGGUAAUAUCAACGAUCCGUCAUAAUAAUCAAAUUGGUUUUUACGUAAAUCAAUUGUCUUAAUGGUUGAUAGAUGCUUGAAGAUGCUCGAAUGUAGAUGCGUCAACCGCGUAUAUGAAAUAUUUAUAUGCUGUAAAUCGAUAUUAUUUAUUGAAAAAAUAUAUAAUGAAUCAGUAAUCAGAAA